GAUGAACGCUAGCUACAGGCUUAACACAUGCAAGUCGAGGGGAAACGAUAGAGAAAGCUUGCUUUUUCUAGGCGUCGACCGGCGCACGGGUGAGUAACGCGUAUCCAACCUGCCCAUCACUUGGGGAUAACCUUGCGAAAGUAAGACUAAUACCCAAUGAUAUCUCUAGAAGACAUCUGAAAGAGAUUAAAGAUUUAUCGGUGAUGGAUGGGGAUGCGUCUGAUUAGCUUGUUGGCGGGGUAACGGCCCACCAAGGCGACGAUCAGUAGGGGUUCUGAGAGGAAGGUCCCCCACAUUGGAACUGAGACACGGUCCAAAACUCCUACGGGAGGCAGCAGUGAGGAAUAUUGGUCAAUGGACGAGAGUCUGAACCAGCCAAGUAGCGUGCAGGAAGACGGCCCUAUGGGUUGAAACUGCUUUUAUAAGGGAAUAAAGUGAGUCUCGUGAGACUUUUUGCAUGUACCUUAUGAAUAAGGACCGGCUAAAUUCCGUGCCAGCAG
rnacentral:rRNA from 1 species